rnacentral:rRNA from 1 species
CGGCGACGGGUGAGUAACACGUGGGUGAUCUGCCUUGCACUCUGGGAUAAGCCUGGGAAACUGGGUCUAAUACCGGAUAUGACCUUCGAUCGCAUGAUUGUGGGUGGAAAGAUUUAUCGGUGCAAGAUGAGCCCGCGGCCUAUCAGCUUGUUGGUGGGGUAAUGGCCUACCAAGGCGACGACGGGUAGCCGGCCUGAGAGGGCGACCGGCCACACUGGGACUGAGACACGGCCCAGACUCCUACGGGAGGCAGCAGUGGGGAAUAUUGCACAAUGGGCGGAAGCCUGAUGCAGCGACGCCGCGUGAGGGAUGACGGCCUUCGGGUUGUAAACCUCUUUCGACUCCGACGAAGCGAAAGUGACGGUAGGAGUAUAAGAAGCACCGGCCAACUACGUGCCAGCAGCCGCGGUAAUACGUAGGGUGCGAGCGUUGUCCGGAAUUACUGGGCGUAAAGAGCUUGUAGGCGGCUUGUCGCGUCGAUCGUGAAAACUCGGGGCUCAACCCCGAGCUUGCGGUCGAUACGGGCAGGCUUGAGUACUUCAGGGGAGCCUUG